GGCUUUUUGAAUAUAAUUUAAGGUCUAACCUGCCCAAUGAUAAUAUAUUAAAUGGCCGCGGUAUUUUGACCGUGCAAAGGUAGCAUAAUCAUUAGUUUUUUAAUUGAAAGCUUGUAUGAAAGGUUUGAUGAGAAAAGAGCUGUCUCUAUUUGAAUUUUAUAGAAAUUUAUUUUUAAGUUAAAAAGCUUAAAUUAGUAUUAAAGACGAGAAGACCCUAUAGAGUUUUAUAUUUUUGUAAAAUUGUUAUGUUUUAGAAUUUUCUAAUAGUUUUUAGUAAUUAUUUGGUUGGGGUGAUUUAAAAAUUAGUUGAACUUUUUUAAAUAAAAUUUCAUUGAUUUGUGAAUUUUUGAUCCUUUUUAAAGAUUAAUAGAUAAAAUUACCUUAGGGAUAACAGCGUAAUUUUUUUUAGAGUUCUUAUCGAAAAAAAAGAUUGCGACCUCGAUGUUGGAUUAAAAUAAAUUAUUGGUGUAGGAGCUGGUAAGUUUAGGUCUGUUCGACCUUUAAAUUUUUACAUGAUCUGAGUUUAAACCGGUGUAAG
rnacentral:rRNA from 1 species